ACAACAUUCGGACCGCCGGUCUAUCGAGCAAUAUUACCCGUUUGGUGAAAGAUCUUUCCACCGUCGU
rnacentral:pre_miRNA from 1 species